rnacentral:rRNA from 1 species
GAUGAACGCUAGCGGCAGGCUUCAUACAUGCAAGUCGAGGGGCAGCAUAAAUUACUUGUAAUUUGAUGGCGACCGGCGAACGGGUGCGUAACGCGUAUGCAACUUACCUUUUACUAGAGAAUAGCCAAGAGAAAUUUUGAUUAAUGCUCUAUGUUCUUAUUUACUCGCAUGAGUAAAUAAGCAAAGCUCCGGCGGUAAAAGAUGGGCAUGCGUCCUAUUAGCUUGUAGGUGAGGUAAUGGCUCACCUAAGCUCCGAUAGGUAGGGGUCCUGAGAGGGAGAUCCCCCACACUGGUACUGAGACACGGACCAGACUUCUACGGAAGGCAGCAGUAAGGAAUAUUGGACAAUGGAGGCAACUCUGAUCCAGCCAUGCCGCGUGAAGGAAGACGGCCUUAUGGGUUGUAAACUUCUUUUAUACAGGAAGAAACCUUUCCACGUGUGGAAAGCUGACGGUACUGUAAGAAUAAGGAUCGGCUAACUCCGUGCCUGCGGG